CCUACGGGAGACUGCAGUGGGGGAUAUUGCACAAUGGGGGAAACCCUGAUGCAGCGACGCCGCGUGGGCGAAGAAGUAUUUCGGUAUGUAAAGUUCUAUCAGCAGGGAAGAAGAAAUGACGGUACCUGAAUAAGAAGCAGCGGCUAAAGACGCGCCAGCAGCCGCGGUAAUACGUAGGGUGCAAGCGUUAUCCGGAUUUACUGGGUGAAAAGGGAGCGGAGGCGGGACGGCAAGCCUGAUGUGAAAGCCCGCGGACCAACCGCGGGACUGCUUUGGGAAUUACCGGGCUGGAGUGCCGGAGAGGUAGGCGGAAUUCCUAGUGUAGCGGUGAAAUGCGUAGAUAUUAGGAGGAACACCAGUGGCGAAGGCGGCCUACUGGACGGUGACUGACGCUGAGGCUCGAAAGCGUGGGGAGCAAACAGGAUUAGAUACCCGAGUAGUC
rnacentral:rRNA from 1 species